GACGAACGCUGGCGGCGUGCUUAACACAUGCAAGUCGAACGGAGCACCUUUGAAAGAGACUUCGGUCAAUGGAUGAGACUGCUUAGUGGCGGACGGGUGAGUAACGCGUGAGGAACCUGCCUUUCAGAGGGGGACAACAGUUGGAAACGACUGCUAAUACCGCAUGAUGCAUGAUCAGGGCAUCCUGGACAUGCCAAAGAUUUAUCGCUGAAAGAUGGCCUCGCGUCUGAUUAGCUAGUUGGUGAGGUAACGGCUCACCAAGGCGACGAUCUUUAGCCGAACUGAGAGGUUGAUCGGCCACAUUGGGACUGAGACACGGCCCAG
rnacentral:rRNA from 1 species